AACUCUCUCUCUUUCUGAUUGAGUGUAAGCUGCUAUAUGAAGGGAUCCACAAGACGAAUAAUUAAGGGGGACCUCUGAUCAACAGCCAGCAAGGAACUGAAUCCCUCAGACCCACAACUCACAAGAAACUGAAGCUGAAGCAGAUUCUUCCUCAGUCAAGCUUCAGGUGCCCAGCUGUAUUGGUAGAGGAGACCAACCACACCCUCCACAGCACAGCACCUGGAGAGGAACUGCUGCCAUGACCAUAGAGGACACCCUCUGGAUACAAUGCCAGACUUGAUGUGGGACUGACCAACCUAUGGACCCCAGGCACCACCACCCAGACCUGCUCAGCACCUGAAACAUUCACAGCCGUGGAGAGAGAACUGUUCACUGCUACCAUCCACACUUCUGGGCCCCUUCAGCAGCAGGGUGACAAGGAAGAGGGAAAUCGACUUGGAAAAGAGGGGACCUCUGACCCAAGAGUUCGGUCAAUGCAUAUGUUGGCAGCCAGCUGCACAUCGCACCAAAUAUGAACUUCAAAUAGAAGAAAGCCUCAUUUGGAAGAAAGCUCAUGCACAGACUGUAAAUAUUUCAGAGCAGAUUGUGUCUCUGUAGAUUAACCAGCUCUUCUUCUGAAGGAUGACCACCUGGAAUAAGAGCAGCCCUAGGCCCCCCACCUCACUCCAGGUGGCAGAUCCACAGAGAUGGUAGCGAUACAGAAGCACAGCUUCCGAUGGCUUCCCCGUGUCUUCAGUUUGCAGCCUUAUUUCGGUGCUUGGACGUGCUUAACUUCUCAGGAUUAUAUUCUGCUUUGGAGUGCAAGGAGAAAGUCACAGUCUAGUUUUAUGAAGACCAAACUAGAGAAAAUCGAGUUAUCUUAAAGUGUAUGACAUCUCCACAAAUGAAUGUUUAUGGCUUUACACUUGGAGUGUUCUUGGAACACUCUUCAUAGCAAAUCCUCCCUCAGAAGACCCCCACCUGGCAUCAGAACAAACGUCUACCUAAUCUUCCAAACUCUGUGUAAAUCCUGGAUCCACCAUUUACCAGCUGUGUAACCCUGGACAACAAUUCCAUCUUUCUGACCUCAGUGUCUUUCUCUGCAAAACAGCGGUAAGAAUGAUCCUACUUCAAUAGAGUUGCUGUGAGGAUUCACUGAGAUCAUGUGUACCAAGCUCCUACAAUAGUACUGAACCCACAGCCAUGGAUCAAGACCAUUAACUUAUAAUCAGUGAUAGCCAAGAGGAUGGGAAGAGAAUAUUAAGCCUGGUGCUCUGCAAAUUAAUACUUGCAGCUUAAAAAUACGCUGGACAUGCGACAAUGGUGCUGAGUACUUUGGGGGAAGAUCACAACAGUCCUGGUAGCAGUGUCACAGCAAAAUAUUUCAGAGGUACCAGAUGAGCUAGCUCCAAGGCAAAUGAGGCAAUAUUAUGUUUAACUGUUUGUUCGGAAACUUCUUUUAUUAAAAAAGAUUUUAAAUAUUAAUGCUAUUUUCAAUACAGGUGUGAUAACACUCAAUAAAGCAUGGUGUACUUGAUAUAAA
rnacentral:lncRNA from 1 species